rnacentral:rRNA from 1 species
CCCUUAGAUGUUCUGGGCUGCACGCGCGCUACACUGAAGCGUUCAACGAGUAUUCACCUUGCCCGGGAGGGUUGGGUAAUCUUUUGAAAACGCUUCGUGCUAGGGAUUGAGGUUUGCAAUUAUCCUUCAUGAACGAGGAAUUCCCAGUAAGUGCAAGUCAUAAGCUUGCGCUGACUACGUCCCUGCCCUUUGUACACACCGCCCGUCGCUACUACCGAUUGAAUGAUUUAGUGAGGACUUCGGACUGGGACCGAUGCGGCUUUCGGGCUGCGUCGGUAUUCUGGAAAGAUGUCCAAACUGUAUCAUUUAGAGGAAGUAAAAGUCGUAACA